rnacentral:rRNA from 1 species
AGUGAACGCUGGCGGUAGGCCUAACACAUGCAAGUCGAACGGCAGCACAGUAAGAGCUUGCUCUUACGGGUGGCGAGUGGCGGACGGGUGAGGAAUACAUCGGAAUCUACUUUUUCGUGGGGGAUAACGUAGGGAAACUUACGAUAAUACCGCAUACGACCUACGGGUGAAAGCAGGGGAUCUUCGGGCCUUUCGCGAUUGAAUGAGCCGAUGUCGGGUUAGCUAGUUGGCGGGGUAAAGGCCCACCAAGGCAACGAUCCGUAGCUGGUCUGAGAGGAUGAUCAGCCACACUGGAACUGAGACACGGUCCAGACUCCUACGGGAGGCAGCAGUGGGGAAUAUUGGACAAUGGGCGCAAGCCUGAUCCAGCCAUACCGCGUGGGUGAAGAAGGCCUUCGGGUUGUAAAGCCCUUUUGUUGGGAAAGAAAAGCAGCAGGUUAAUACCCCGCUGUUCUGACGGUACCCAAAGAAUAAGCACCGGCUAACUUCGUG